rnacentral:rRNA from 1 species
UACGAAGGGGGCUAGCGUUGUUCGGAAUUACUGGGCGUAAAGCGCGCGCAGGCGGUCUUCCAAGUCAGUGGUGAAAGCCUGGAGCUCAACUCCAGAACUGCCAUUGAAACUGUUAGACUUGAGUACGAGAGGGGUGAGUGGAAUUCCCAGUGUAGAGGUGAAAUUCGUAGAUAUUGGGAAGAACACCAGUGGCGAAGGCGGCUCACUGGCUCGUAACUGACGCUCAGGCGCGACAGCGUGGGGAUCAAACAGG